ACAAUGAUUCUGCAAGAUAAAUGAGAAAAUAAAACAAUAAUUAGAAAAUGAAUUCAUUGAAAACAAACGUGGUUUGAUAGGUUUCUUUAGUCAUUUUAUUCUCAAACCUCCAAGGAGAUUUCAAUUGUAUUUUUCACUAAAAUUUUCUUCCUUUUUUUAUUAUCAUUUCAUAUCAAUAUGAUCACUAGUUUAAAUUACACAUGUUGAUAACAAAAUCGCAAUUAAAAAAACAAUAAUAAACAAUUAAUUUAAUCACAAUUUAAAUCUUAAAACAAAAACACGUUUUUUUUGAUUCAAAACAAACGAAAAGGGAUAAUUAAAAAAGUGAAAAUUGUUCUUCUAUCAAAGGUUAACUUUAAUUCUUCACUUUUGAAACGACCCCUAAAUCUAAAUAUCUUCUGAUUUUUUUGUUCCGUUAAUUGUUAUUAAUUAAUUUCUUUUAAUUGUGAACCUUUUUACCACUGUUUUACUGUAUUAUUCCUAAUUGUUGAUUGUUAAUUUUGUUGGGAAUAUAAACUCGAAUCGAUAACCAAUACUAAAUGGUCAAUAUUUGUCUUCUAAAAGUGAUCAAUGUCCACACCUUAAAGGUGAAGCCCGGGUGAUGGUUUAACAAUUGUUACAAAUGAAUAAAUGAUUUGAAAUAAGGGUCCACCUUAAAUGUAUUGAUGGAAAUUGUGAAAAUCUCAAUAUAAUGGUCACCUCUUGAUGAUCCAUAUACAAGGUUGGUAACAAUUAAAAUAUAUGAUUAGAAAAUCGCAAGCGGAAAAUAGACAAAUUAAAGGAUCUCUCAUUCAUUGGAUAUUGUGAUCAACGUUUUCUAUUAAAAUCUCAAGUGAUUUCUUCAUCUUAAUGAGUUUGAUUGUAAUCAAAAUUGAACAUCAUCAUCAUCAUCAUUUAACUGAAGAAGAUGGAGAUGAAGAUGAUGAUGAUGAUGAUUAUAAUUAUAUUCCAUCUAAAUAUUACAAGAGUAUUUUUUGACUUUUGAUCAAAUGAAAAGAUGAAAAAUCAAAUAAUCGCAAUUUGUUUGUUAAUUGUCUUGUUAUUGUUUAUCAUUUUUAGCAUCAAUUUAUAAUUCGCAUCACCAUUACCAUCCUGUGUAAAAGUUACGCUUAAAACCUCAAUCAAAUCUCAGCAAAUUUGGGUCAUCAAAAUGUUUACCUGUUAAAUGAACAUUUUCAUUUUUCAGGGUUUGGUUUGGUUAACAAUCAGUUAAUCAUGUUAAUAUAUAUCUUUGAUUAUGUUACCGUUUACAGUGGAUUUUACCAAAAAGCUUCUCCCAACUACUUAAUACUGGAAGCAUAAUAAUCAACAGUAACAAUUUAAUCCUAAUCUUUGAAUUGUUGAUAUUCUGAUUACUUAUUAUACAGAAAAAAAAGUUGAUCAGUUAUCAAUCUAUUCUUGAUUUGAACUGAUUAAACCAUGAUAGUGAUAACGAUGAUUAAGAUAUUCAUAACAUUCAUUGAAUUGAUUGGUUUGAAUCUCCCAAUGUUAAUCUGAUAAUCCAAUGAUGAUUAUAAUUUACCUUUGCAAUCAUGGUCAAGUAUAAAAGGUUAAUACCUGUUGAUAUAUUAUAACAAACUUGAUCAACAUGAUGUUUAACUCAAUUGAGAUCACCGUCAACCGUAAUUAAACCAUUGGGUCAACCAAUUAAAAGGCUCAAUUGUUAACAAACUGACCAUCACUUGAUGUUUUUUAUUUCUCUCUCUCUUUCUUAUCUUCAUCUCCUUUUUUUUUGUUUCAUUUCUCUUUCUUUGUUUCUAAAAGGGAUGAUAAUGGUCAAUAUGAUGAUGAUGAUGAUAAUCUUUGGUGUCCAUUUACAAUUAAGGAAGAUACUUUAAAGAGGUGAGAGACACAAUGGUCAAUAUUAAUUGGAUGGACAACAGAAUGGCAAGGAAACAAAGUCAAUACAAUAAUUGGUGUAACAAUUAAAGUUGAUCGUCUAUUCAUUUAUUUGGAUUGCGAAAACGGAUCUUAAAACAAUUGAUUUUAAGACAAAAAGGUCAAGUUCGAUAUUCGGGAUAAAAAAAAACUCGUAAAAAGGUACGAGCUCAUUUUCUUUCCGCUCGAGGCCUCAAAGUUUAUCUUUCUCAAGAUUUGGCGGAUUAAUUUCAAUUGGAAUAAAAAAUAAUUCCAUCUCACCCUUUUUUCUCAUAUACUAAACAAUUAGAAUCAACAAUUAGCUUCAUGUGAGACUUGGCGAUCUCACUAGUGGUCAGUUAUUGGUCAUUUGUCUUACCUGGAAAAAAAAGUUCCAUCUUUUUUUUGUCUGUUUGAUUAACUUGAUUGUUUAACUAAUCAACAAUUAGACUUAAUUGGUUUCCUUUCAUUAAACGGAAACCUUUUUAACCAAAUUAAAACUGUAUAAUAUCAAAUA